UUUUAUUUUCAUUUCCUUUGAUUGCAAUUCCAUUGUGAAUAAUCUUUAUUUUCAUGGUCUUUGAAAAAUGAUGCAGAGAAGUGAGAAGGCUGCAGUGGCAGGGCUGUGAUGGGUCUCAUGAAAUAACUUGCUGGCUUCCUUCUUCCUUAUAAAUAUAGUCUUGAGUUCCUAAUUAUUAAGAUGGAAAAUUUGGCUCUUGAAAAUAAGGCUACAGAAUAAUGAUACUUGUCUUCGAUUUCUUUUUCUUCACAUAAAUGGUUUCAUUUUCUUUCUUAUGAGAAUGAAGUUUUUCAUCUUCACCCUUAGUCAAAAUACUUUCCUUUGCUCUGAUGCAGUUAUUUUUCUUUUUAAACAUUUUCCACAUGCAGAAUAGAAUAAAUUGAAUCAUUCGUCUGGAAAAAAGAUCUAUUUUUUUUUCUUUUGUCUGGGUCAUGGGUGAAUGAGAGACUAGACAGUUUAUGCACAUUCUAUACUGUACAUAUACACAUUAAACGACCAUUUAUUACUUUGCUGAUCAACCAUUUUUAUCAAUCAUUUUAAAUGAGUCUGUAGCAAAGCUGAAGUAGAGUCCCUGUGAUUACAGCAAGGAGAGUCGGUUGCUCUAAAAAUGGCCAUUUUGCUACUGUUUUCCCCAUCGCCACCUGCUGAAAUGUGCGGCAUCCAUCAGUGCUGAUAAAACCUUUUCUCAUCCUGGUCCAUGUUUGAGAUUAAUUACAAGCACAUCCUUCCUGUUUAAAGAUGUUCUGACCAAUGUUGGUAUCAGGCAGCGUUCAGGGAGGAAACUUUUCCGAACAGGUGUCCACAUGUAACAUCACGCGGCCACGAGAGGCAGUUGAAGGGAGUGGACUUGGAAGUCCGGAGGCCCCUGCCCUCCCUGCUGUAAACCUGGGGGGUUGGAGCCGGUGGGAUGCAGGUCCUGGCCUGAUAGGGCUGCUGCGUGUCACUCGUUCACUGGGCAGGAAGAGAGGGGAAAGGCUUUCCUUGAUAUUUCCCGCCGCCCAGUUCUGAGCAGAAGUCUGCAUUUUCCAUUGUCCCUGUGUCCAUCCCGCCAAACCUGCCGUCCCUGGAACCGUGCAUCCCAUUGAAUGGAAGGAGGUGGAAACCCGCCCUGUGAAGUCACAGCUGUGCGAGCAGCACGGUGCCAGGCGUGGCUCUUUGUACUCUGGAAUCAGAUGAUUGACGGCUGGCAGGGAUGAGCACGUGCUCACUGAGCCUGGGGGCUUUGAUCUUCACCACGUCCACCGAGGCAGCGGAAAUUUCCUGGGAAGGUGACAGGGAUUUCCUAAACCAAAUGCAAAUAGAUGUUUAACCUUCACCUCCAGCUCACUCCCAGAGGCUAUGCAAGUGCAUGCAAAGAAAACACUGGUUUGUAAAUUAGAAAAUGUUGAUUUUUACAGAGUAUUCCUAUUUGAAUAGGCUUACACUUACAUUGCAGCAUCUUACUUUUUUUUUUUUUUAGUUAUUACAUAGCUGAUGAUUCUUCUGAAUUUUCAAUAACAGAUACGUGUUAUAUAGAGAUAAUGUAACUUGAAGGCCUUGCUAGGAUUGGGGAAGGACUUAGCAGAUGGCAGGUUUUAUCUUUUGUGACAAAAGACUCUCACUCUUUUGCCAGUCCUGCCAGUUAUGGGCUAUAUAUACGUCAUCCUUUUUCUUUAAUUAACUGAUGCUAAUAAAAUACUGUAUAAAAUUUAGUAAACAUAGAAAACAUUUUCCAACAUGAAUACAUGCUAUAAUUAACCUGUACUUGUGAAUGCCUCAUGAAAAAAUAAGUGUGUAGCUUAGCAUUUAUAUGUUAGGAAAAAUAUGGAGUUAUAUGAGUUACAGUCCAGAUUUUGUCAUGAAAGUUAUGUACUUUAGGCUCAGAUAUGACCCUAGUUUUCUGGUCAGGAAAAAAGGUGUUGAUGAAAUCAGAUGAUCUCAAGGUAAUUUUCAGUUAAAAGCCUGUGAUCUGCGAUCUUUCCUGUAUUCUCUCCACUGUUUCCUGUCUCAUCGAUGUGGUUAUUACAGGUGUUUUUAUUAUUAAUUUCCUCCCAAAGAUAUUAUUCUCUUUGUGUGUGUGUGUUAGUUUUUUUUAAGUAAAAUGAUUUUACUAUAUUUUUAAUUUUUGGAAAAUAUUGUGUCUUUGCAUGGACAUUUUGGACCACUCGUCUGCUCUUUAAAAUUUCUUUGUAAUGGAGUCAGUGCCUCGUUUCUCUCUGCCGAUGCCCCAGAUGCCACCUUUCCUUCCAUUUGGAGCCCUGCCUUCCCCUAUACGUUUGAUUUUAUGAUUGGAAAAUGGGAUUAUUCGCUACAGAACUUUGCUUCAGAAACACAUUGAGGACUGUGUGGAUAUUGAGAGAAGUGGACCUUUCUUCAGGGGCAGUGGCAGUGGUUAGUGGGUUCCCAUGAAGGGGCUUCCAAGCACAGAUCUCUGUCCACACGCUCGGCCUUCCAGAAGACAGGUACCACUGUGUCGCCAGGACAUCUCACCCCGGGGGGGGUGUGUGUGUCUUUCUGCAACACCUGAAAACUGAUCAGCAGUGCAGCCUCUCAGGCCCUGCCCAGAUCUCCUGACUCAGAAUCCGCAUUUUAACAUCCUCAGGUGGUUCUUAACACACACGUGAGUGUGGGAAGCUGCUCGAGAACCUCCUCAUCCUUUGGAUCAACUUUGGGCCGGGAGUUUGGGAACGUUUCCUCCUGGGGCAGCUCUGUCCUUCCCCUUAGCCAGCUCUGCCUCUGGGACAACAAGGAGCAGGCAGGACCCUCUGAUUUCACGUGUCACUACUGAUAAGAGGGGCAUGGCAAUUGUCACUUGAGCGUUAAACAGAGGAGAAUCAACCCUCUUUGAAUUCAUUCAUGUUUCCUUGCUGUUGCAUUGGCAUACUGGAAAAAUGUGUAGACAUAUUAAUUCUUUUAAUAACAAUAGUGUUUGAACCCAGGUCUUCGUAAGCAUUUUUCUUUAAUGUUUGAUGGACUUUCCUCAUGGAUCUAAUGGGCUCCAAUACUUCCCGUCUCUGUCCGCUUGUGUCCCCUCAUACCUGUUGGUUAUCAGAGUCACCAAGGUGGGUUUUGAUGGUUCUAGAUUCCGCGUUCCCACCUCCCGAGCUUCCUGGGGACCACAGGGCCCCCAGACACUGGUGUUUGUGAAAACCUUCUCGGGGGUUUCUGGGGACGUGGCCUGUUGGGGGCCCGUUGACCUGACUUUGCAGAGCCCCCGUCUCAUCUCUUCUUUGAGUGAUGGAGGUGGAAUGAGAGCAGUUACGCCGAGGGCCGAAAGCACUUCCCAGACGGCCCAAGGGUCCUCACCCUGCCGCGAGCUCCCGUUGUUUUUUCCUUCCAUUUGGUGCCUCUUGCCAAUUUCUUAGCUCCACACACAGCCCUCCGGGGCCACUGCCAACACUUCUGAGACAGAGUUGAUUUGGGUUCCUGUCAUUGUAGCACUCCAGCUUCUGGGGUGUUAUAAUUGUCUUCCGUUUGACUUGCAGACAUAGUCGCAAAAUGUAUGUCAUUUGUUUAUUCUCCAGGCCCCACCCAUGACCUCCACCACCAGGUAGCUCCCUCUGAGGGCUUCGCGCUGGGCUCCUGGUCCUUCCGCCGUAAGCUCCGACCUCACAUCCAGGAAGGGAACCAACUGGAAGGUUCACGGGCUGAUCCCUGGGCGCCUUUUCUUACAGACCUCGACUCGACACACUCUCUCCCCUCUGUGGGGGCGGCGGUGGGGGGCAGCGAGUGGCAGGUCUUUCUCUGACUGACGCAGAACCGAUUUUCCCUUCCGUUUUCUCAAGGCUCAGUUCCAGCGACACCAGUAAUUUUGCCUUCGAAACACAGAAACUCCCGCCACGAAAUUCCUUCGAUCCCUCGCUGCCCUUUUUGCCAAGCGCAGAAUGAUGCCUAAUGGUCAAAUGCUGAGAUGCCGAUCACUCAGUUUGAAGUGAAUCCUCAAACUCGGUGACCUGGCCUUGGAGGUGAGCCCCGAAUGCUGCUGCACUGCAGAGGGUCCCUUGGGCCUCCAGACCCCUUCGAGAAUGGAAUGGAGGGGAAGAGUGAAGUGAUAAGAACACUGGGGGGGUCUUCUGGUGUUGGGGUCGGUGGUUUGCCUUCACAAAUGGAAUGAGUUUCUUUGAUUUAAAGAAGGCUUUUGCUUCAUCUUCGACCAUGUUCACGGGCUCGGCGACAUCACCCCAAGUACGCAGGUGGAGACCGCCUCCGCCCGCAUUUCUGGAAUUCAGCACCGUCGUCUGUAACUCAAGGUGACACAUCCAGAAUACUCUGAAUUAUGCCUUCCAUGGCCUGUAGGAGAAGUCUUCGUUCAGGCCCAGGGGCGUAGUUCUUCCGCAUUUUUCUGAGAUGAUCAAUUAUUAUGUUAGUUUCAUUGAAAAUCUGAGAAAGACUCAAGGAAUUCCCCUUAUAAACCGGUUGGAAAUUCUCAUUAAAAGAAAAAUUCUCAUUAAAAGGAAAUUCUCAUUAAAGCAAAACAAAAAGAGUAUUCUCUCCCUCUUUGCACUUUCCUCUUUUCUCCUGCCUGUCCUCCUGGUUGGCCUGAGCACCCUCAGAGUUGCAGUGAUGUUGGGAGAGGACCGCGGGCACACCUGUGGCAGGUAUUCGAUGUAGCAGAAGAAAGAAAGGCAGAGGGAGUGGCUGUUGCCUUCACUGCUCAUGUCCAGAAGCAUCUUCGGGGCUUCAUUUGUGGCCUUCAGUUCCAAAAGCUGAUGUGCCCCAGAUGGGAGGCGAAUGGCCAAGCAUUGAAUCAGUGGAAAUCAAAGCCAGUCUUUGAAUUGUUAGUGUGAUCUGUUCUCAACCUAGAAACCAGCGAGCCCUUAGACAGUACAAUGUAUAUUUGCCCCAAUAGGCUUUUGUCUCACUGGCUGGCCCCAUUACCUGCCUGGCUUCCCAUUGCAGAGUGGGUCUCUUGGAAGAGACAGUACUGGUUUCACAGGCCUCCUUUUGUGAUUCCAUCUUGUACCUUCCGGAAUUCUUAAGUGGAUUUUCUUCAGUAGGUUGUAUGUUGUCAGUUUUCCUUGGUCUUGUCUUGUCCUAUUUUCUAGAAUGUUGGGGUGCAUUUGAUGACAUGAUCUCAUCUCUUCCUGCCUCUCAGCGGCUGUGGCGUUGCUCGGAUGUCGGUGUGCAGUUUAUACGAGGUCAUCCCUUUGUUUACUCGAGGACCAUCCCACUGACACACCUGUUGUUCCCUCUGGCGCAGGGUUCUGCUCCCUUGUGUGUUUUUCCAAAUCUGGGGUACUUUGUUCUAAACACCGACAUUUUGCUUUCACCAUCUCAGCUUCUAGCAAGUAUUUCUGAGUAAGGCCUCAUGUUAUCUAACCAGAGUUUCAUUUUCUCCGGAUCUUAUCUUUACGGGUGUGAGAUAUGUGCAGAAUCCCAAUGCCUGGAAAUCCCUCAACUAUUUAUUAUGUGUGUCCGUAUCUGUUUCUCUGCAUUCCUAUCUCUCCUCCUGUGCUAAACGGUGCAUUUUAAAAACACUUUCUGGGUAUUGUUAUCAAGGUUAUAUGUUUAUGUUUUGUUCUUGCUCCUUCUUGCUGAGAAUAUUAUCUUGGUUUCUGAAUCUGGAGUGUAUGUGAAUGAAAGUAUGUGAUUUUUUGUGUGUUUUAUCCCCUUUCAGUGCUAAAAAAAAUACCUACAAACUGAAAGUCACGGUGAACACAUUUGUUAUAAAUACAUAGGUGCUUUUUGAUGUGAGGCUUUUGAAUAACAUUCUCCUUAUUUAAUCACAACUGCCUGUGCUGCUGCUUCUCUUCUUGCUGGUAUCUGACAUAAAAAUUUGGAUUUAGACACGAACUCAGCCAUGGGGAUAGACACAUCAGAACUGGCUUAUGAAUGAGUUAUUUUGUGGGGUUUUAUUACAGAUAGUCCCCUAUCGAGGCAAAUCCGAAGAGGGCUUAAUCAGGUGCCAUUAAAGACUGGACUUAGGGCCGUAAUCCUAAGCCACAGAGUGACACUUAUCUAAAGUAAUCAUCUUGCCUCUCAAGCACAUUUCAGUAGUGUUUGCUAAUCUCGCAAGCAUAUGGGAUCAGGGAGUUAAAAAUAAGAAGCAGGUCAAAUAAAUGUGACUCUGGAAGGGAAAAUCUAUUUGACUGAGUUACUUGUUUAUAUUUUUAAAGGGAAACAAAGGAGUACGUUUUACUACUAUGAAGAGAUUAUUGUUAACCUCUAGAAGAGAGCAAAACUAAAUUAGUACUAGCGUUGAGUUACCAAUCCGAAUGCCUUUCCAUCUGUGUCAGGGUGAGACGUCCGGCUCAGGUUCGUGUACCCUGGAAGGCCUCAGGCCAAGGGGGCCCUCCUAACAGUGGGAAAAUAUCCCUUGCCGGGCUGACAAGAUUACAA
rnacentral:lncRNA from 1 species